rnacentral:rRNA from 1 species
AUGCUUCUCCUAAAGACUAAGCCAUGCAUGCCUCCGAAUAAGAAGAAGCAAUUCUCUCUGAAUCUGCGAACGGCUCCGCACACCAGUUGCAAACUAUAGCAAGCAAGCUUGCUCGGGUUGGGCUUCGGCCUGGCCUGGGUGAUACGGAUAACCCUGGUAAUUCUGAGGCUAAUACGUGUAUGGAACACCCGGUGGACCGGCCUCACGGCUGGGAUAUCGGGAGACGAGUGAUGGAAUGUUUGGAUUACCAGGAACGGGCG